rnacentral:lncRNA from 10 species
AGUAGAAUGAUUUAUAAUCCUUUGGGUAUAUACCCAGCAAUGGGAUUGCUGAGUCAAAUGAUAUUUCUAGUUCUAGAUCCUUGAGGAAUAGCCACAACAAACUAUCACAAGAACAGAAAACCAAACACCGCAUGUUCUCACUCACAAGUGGGAGUUGAACAAUGAGAACACAAGGACACGGGGAGGGGAACGUCACGCACUGGGGCUUGUCGGGGGUGGGGGGCUAGGGGAGGGAUAACAUUAGGAGAAAUACCUAAUGUAGGUGACAGGUUGAUGGGUGCAGCAAGCCACCAUGGCAGGUGUAUACCUAUGUAACAAAACUGCACGUUCUGCACAUGUACCCUAGGACUUAAAUAAUAAUAAUAAUAAUAAAGAGAAGCUGUUACGUAGUCUUCCAUAGAGAUGUGGGUCAGUACAAGGCAAGAGAAUUUUGUGACUAGCUUUCUAAAUUCCAAACAGAGUUGUAAACAUGCCAUAGUACUAUUAAAGGGUGGGAGGGAAAAUAAGUAUUUUCUUUUACCCUAGACCUAUAAUUGGAAAUCAUGUUUGUAUUAGCCAGGAUUCUCCAGAUAGACAGAACUAAUAGGAUAAAUAAAUAUUAGGUUGGACAAAAGUAACUGCGGUUUUUGCUAUUACUUUUAAUAGACAAGUAUAGAUAUGGAUAUAGAUAUAGAUAUAGAUCUAUCUAUAUCUAUAUAUAGGAUACAUAGAUAUACCCUAUAUAUCUAUAUAGUAUCUAGUAGGAUAAUUGGCUCACAUGAUUAUCGAGGCUGAGUUAUACAAUUAAAAUACAAGCCAAAGCUUAAGCCCCGUUUUUAUAAAAACUGGUAUAGAAUUGUUUUUAUUUUAAUACAAAAUUAUAAUUUUGAUGACUUCAUAAGUUUACGUGUAGAAAAUAUAAUGGUGAAAUAGAACAUUCACUUACAUUUUUGAGGUCAUUUUUCAGCUUUUAAGUUAAGAAAAUAUAGAGGAAAUAAAGAGAAGUGAUAAUUAGCAGUGGGAGAACAAAUUAUAUAACAAUUCAAAAAAUUUUUUAAAAUUACCCAGAUCUUAUAUUGCCCUGAUCAAUGUAUCAGAUAUCAGUACCAGAUGAGUAUAUUUCAAAAUUUUAGUAAUAAAAAUUGGACAAUAUAAGAUUAGCUGAGGAAAAAACCAAAGUCUCAUUCAAAAUUCAUAGCACAAAAGGGAUUUGAAAGCAAGCAUAAAUUUUGGGCAGGAAGUGAGAAAAAUUACUUUCUACAUUUUUGUGGUUAAAUCUGAGAAACUAUGAUUUAAUCAACAUAUUCUUGCUUAUUUGUAAGAGUACUAAAACAUCUGAUUAUAUUGUCCAGAGCAUUCCAGACAGUUGCUUUUUACAGUUGCAGUAUACCUUUUGCAAAAACUAAGGUCAGAAAUAAUAAAUUCUGUAUAAAUAAGUUACUGUAAUUCACUUUGGGUAAAAAAGUACUUUCUUCCUUACGGUUUAUUUUUCCUGAAGGAAAAAUAUUCAUUUAGCAAUCACAAUGGACCAGGAGCUUGUUCAGGUGAUGAGACACUCGCGAAACAGAGUAGCCAGGGCAGAGACUGCCAAUGCUCCCGGGAAUUCAUUAUCUUCAUUUUCCCUGAGCCACAGAGCCUUGUGAUCUCUCCACAACCUAUCAUCGUGGAUUAGCUGGACACACAGUGACCUAAUUUAGAGAAGAGAGUUCUUGGCCUCCAUUUAAACGACAUGUGGCAGCAUUGGAGUAACUUUCAACCAGUGAAAGAUUGAGAAACAGAGCAGGAGCUCAAUAAUUACCUCAUGAAAAAGAAAGGAUGCAGAAAUGAACAAUGAAUGAGUACUUUUAUGUGAACAUGCACAAGGUUCUUGGAGUACAGAAAAUGAUGCAGAAGGCUGGGUGCGGUGGCUCACACCUGUAAUCCCACCACUUUGGGAGGCCGAGGUGGGCAGAUCACCUGAGGUUAGAAGUUCGAGACUAGCCUGACCAACAGGGUGAAACCCUGUCUCUACUAAAAAUACAAAAAUUAGCCAGGUGUGGUGGCACACACCUGUAAUCCCAGCUACUCAGUCUGAGGCAGGAGAAUCACUAGAAACUGGGCGGCGGAGGUUGCAGUGAGCCGAGAUCACGCCAAUGCAUUCCAGCCUGGGCAACAGAGCGAGACUCUGUCUCAGAAAAAAAAAAGGAAAAAAGAAAAGAAAAUGAUGCAAAAAUCUUGGAAGCAUGAGAAAGCGUGAUGUAUGGCAAGAGUAAAGUGUGACAUAGAAAGGUGGUGGGAAACAAACCAGAAUGGUUGAAUCAGGGACAUAUAAUGCAAAGCCCAUCAUGCCUUAUUAAAUAACUUAAACUUUCUCCUGGAGGAAAUGAGAAGUCAUCAAAAAUGUUAUAAUGUUACAAGGACUUAAAAAAAUUGUUGGGAAUAUGAAGGACAACUAGUAAAUGGGGGAACAAAAAGCUGUUUCAACAUUUCAGAUGAAGAAUAAUGAUGAUAAACUCAGGUAUACCCUGUCCGUGUGAAAACAAAAUUUCUGUUUCAAGAGAAUUCUUUAGACAAUCAGAAUCUAUAAAGCCAGAGAAAUGCCUCCAGAAGGCAAAACCACUAAUCAUGUCCCUUGUGAUAUACACUGUAAAGUAGUGAGAGGAAAUCCUACAAAGGUUUUCAUUGUUGCGUUUGUUUUCCAAACAUCCAUGAGCAGACUUCCCCAUCAGAUGUGGCUCUAGGAACUUCAAUGAUGAUAAAUCAACAUCACAAAAGCAGCUAUGGACUAUACAUAAAAGAAUGGGUGUAGCUGAGUUCCAGUUUCAAUAAAACUUUAUUAACAAAAAGAACUGCUCAGCCAAAUUUGAUCCAUGGGUCAUAGUUUGCCAACCCAAGAUCUGGUAACUUAUUGUAAGAACCAGUGUUUGAGCUAUUUAGGUCAACGUUAUGAAGAGUAAUAAAAUCCCCACUAAAGAUGUCUCAGCAUUCUUUUGCACAUCAUGCAAUUCCAUUACUAAUAGAUUAUUAUUUGGGCAAGAGAAAAAUAAUGCAAGUGAGGCACACAUUGAAAUUUUUAAUUUGAUAUUCCCAAGGUCAGUCACCUUAGGAAUCUGAUGUUGCUUAACAUUGAGUCCCCUCAGAUUACACUGAUGUGAAAUAUCUGCUUACAAUAUCUGCUUAAUAACUGCAUAUUUUUUCAGCCACCGUGUCACUGUUAACAUCUCCUUGCCCAUCCAAAAACCUAGAAGAGCUGGAUUAAUUACAGUUCUCCAGAGAAACAGAAACAAUAGGAUAUCUAUCUAUCUGGAAAGAAAUUGGGGAAAGGGGAAAGAGAUACAUUUUUCUGACAUGUGUAACUGUGAAGACUGAGAAUUUACACGAUUUGUCAUCUAUAAGCUAAAGAUCCACAAAAAUGCAUGGUGUAAUUCAGUUCAAGCUCAAAGGCCUGUGAGGACCAGGGGCACUGAUUAUGUAAAUCUCAGUCCAACCUCAAAAUAAGAUGAAAUGGGGUAUCCCAGCUCAUGUAGUGAGGCAGAAUAAAAGGAGGUGAAUCCCUCAGUUCUGUGAUUUUUUUGUACUCUUCAGGCCCUCAA